UACGGAGGGUGCAAACGUUGCUCGGAAUCAUUGGGCGUAAAGCGUGUGUAGGCGGCCUGUUAAGUCGGGUGUGAAAGCCCCGGGCUCAACCCGGGAAGUGCAUUCGAUACUGGCAGGCUUGAGUACGGGAGAGGGUCGCGGAAUUCCCGGUGUAGAGGUGAAAUUCGUAGAUAUCGGGAGGAACACCAGUGGCGAAGGCGGCGACCUGGACCGAUACUGACGCUGAGACACGAAAGCGUGGGGAGCAAACAGGAUUAGAUACCCUGGUAGUCCACGCUGUAAACGAUGGGUGCUAGGUGUCGUGGGUAUUGACCCCUGCGGUGCCGAAGUUAACGCAUUAAGCACCCCGCCUGGGGAGUACGGCCGCAAGGCUAAA
rnacentral:rRNA from 1 species